UGAAGGUGCGUUGUAAAGCGUGCUGGAGGUAUCAGAAGUGCGAAUGCUGACAUGAGUAGCGUUAAAGGGGGUGAAAAGCCCCCUCGCCGUAAGCGCAAGGUCUUCUACGCAACGUUCAUCGGCGUAGAGUGAGUCGGCCCCUAAGGCGAGGCAGAGAUGCGUAGCUGAUGGGAACCAGGUCAAUAUUCCAGUACCGAUGUGUAGUGCGAUGUGGGGACGGAUCUUAAUAGGUCAUCCGGGUGUUGGAUAUCCCGGUUUAAUUGGAUGUAGGCGAUGGGUAGGCAAAUCCGCCCGUCAUAUACCGAGGCCAAUGAUCGAGCCAGCUUGCUGGUGAAGUGACUGAACGAGGUUCCAGGAAAAGCCACUAAGCUUCAGCUACACACGACCGUACCGCAAACCGACACUGGUGCGCGAGAUGAGUAUUCUAAGGCGCUUGAGAGAACUCAGGAGAAGGAACUCGGCAAAUUGACACCGUAACUUCGGAAGAAGGUGUGCCCUAGUAGUGUGAAGUGAACAACGGAGCAUGAAUGGGUUGCAAAAAAUCGGUGGCUGCGACUGUUUAUUAAAAACACAGCACUCUGCAAACACGAAAGUGGACGUAUAGGGUGUGACGCCUGCCCGGUGCUGGAAGAUUAAAUGAUGGGGUGCAAGCUCUUGAUUGAAGUCCCAGUAAACGGCGGCCGUAACAAUAACGGUCCUAAGGUAGCGAAAUUCCUUGUCGGGUAAGUUCCGACCUGCACGAAUGGCGUAACGAUGGCCACACUGUCUCCUCCUGAGACUCAGCGAAGUUGAAAUGUUUGUGAUGAUGCAAUCUCCCCGCGGAAAGACGGAAAGACCCCAUGAACCUUUACUGUAGCUUUGUAUUGGACUUUGAACAGAUCUGUGUAGGAUAGGUGGGAGGCUUUGAAGCAGGGUCGCUAGAUCUUGUGGAGCCAACGUUGAAAUACCACCCUGGUGUGUUCGAGGUUCUAACCUAGGUCCAUUAUCUGGAUCGGGGACAGUGCAUGGUAGGCAGUUUGACUGGGGCGGUCUCCUCCCAAAGCGUAACGGAGGAGUUCGAAGGUACGCUAGUUACGGUCGGACAUCGUGACGAUAGUGCAAUGGCAUAAGCGUGCUUAACUGCGAGACUGACAAGUCGAGCAGAUGCGAAAGCAGGACAUAGUGAUCCGGUGGUUCUGUAUGGAAGGGCCAUCGCUCAACGGAUAAAAGGUACUCUGGGAUAACAGGCUGAUACCGCCCAAGAGUUCAUAUCGACGGCGGUGUUUGGCACCUCGAUGUCGGCUCAUCUCAUCCUGGGGCUGUAGCCGGUCCCAAGGGUAUGGCUGUUCGCCAUUUAAAGAGGUACGUGAGCUGGGUUUAAAACGUCGUGAGACAGUUUGGUCCCUAUCUUCCGUGGGCGCUGCAGAUUUGAGGAAGCCUGCUCCUAGUACGAGAGGACCGGAGUGGACACACCUCUGGUGUAUCGGUUGUCACGCCAGUGGCAUUGCCGAGUAGCUAAGUGUGGUAGAGAUAACCGCUGAAAGCAUCUAAGCGGGAAACUCGUUUCAAGAUGAGAUCUGCCGGGGCCUUGAGCCCCCUGAAGAGUCGUUCAAGACCAGGACGUUGAUAGGUCAGGUGUGGAAGCGCAGUAAUGCGUUAAGCUAACUGAUACUAAUUGCUCGUGCGGCUUGAUC
rnacentral:rRNA from 1 species